rnacentral:rRNA from 1 species
AUGAAGUCGCUGGUGUUCAACGGCAACGGCUGCGCGGUGUACGGCCCCGACGGCGCAGUCACCUUCCGCGUCGACAACUACGGCUGCAGGGGCGGCCGCGAGGUCCUCCUCAUGGACCGCGCCGGCAACGCCCUCAUCACGAUCAGGCGCAAGGGCUUCGGCAUGUUCAAGAGGUGGGAGGUCCGCCGGUGCGCCCACAACGGCCACCAGGACGAGGAAGCGACGCCGUGGUUCAGCGUGCGGCGGGCCGAGAAGGGCGGGGCCGCCGUGGCGAUGCACGGCGGCGCGAGGACGUGCUACAGGAUCGACGGGUGCUCCGGCGCGCGCAAGCCCGAGUACAGAGUCCGCGGCGUGGAUGGCUCGGUCAUGGCGGAGGUGGCGCGGAAGCAGACGUCGGCCGGGGUGGUGCUGGGGGAGGACGUGCUGACGCUUACGGUGGCGCCGGAGGUGGAUCACCUGCUCGCCCUGGGCUUGGUCGUCGUGCGUGGCCUCAUCAACCGCUCCUUGUGA